rnacentral:rRNA from 1 species
AUUGAACGCUGGCGGCAUGCCUUACACAUGCAAGUCGAACGGCAGCACGGGUGCUUGCACCUGGUGGCGAGUGGCGAACGGGUGAGUAAUACAUCGGAACAUGUCCUGUAGUGGGGGAUAGCCCGGCGAAAGCCGGAUUAAUACCGCAUACGAUCUACGGAUGAAAGCGGGGGACCUUCGGGCCUCGCGCUAUAGGGUUGGCCGAUGGCUGAUUAGCUAGUUGGUGGGGUAAAGGCCUACCAAGGCGACGAUCAGUAGCUGGUCGGAGAGGACGACCAGCCACACUGGGACGGAGACACGGCCCAGACGCCUACGGGAGGCAGCAGGGGGGAAUUGUGGACAAGGGGCGAAAGCCUGAUCCAGAAAUGCCGAGUGUGGGAAGAAGGCCGUCGGGUUGGAAAGCACGUUUGUCCGGAAAGAAAUCCUUGGCCCUAAUACGGUCGGGGGGAUGACGGUACCGGAAGAAUAAGCACCGGCUAACUACGUG